GAUGAACGCUGGCGGCGUGCCUAAUACAUGCAAGUCGAGCGAACAGACGAGGAGCUUGCUCCUCUGACGUUAGCGGCGGACGGGUGAGUAACACGUGGAUAACCUACCUAUAAGACUGGGAUAACUUCGGGAAACCGGAGCUAAUACCGGAUAAUAUAUUGAACCGCAUGGUUCAAUAGUGAAAGACGGUUUUGCUGUCACUUAUAGAUGGAUCCGCGCCGCAUUAGCUAGUUGGUAAGGUAACGGCUUACCAAGGCAACGAUGCGUAGCCGACCUGAGAGAGGGGUCGGCCACACUGGAGCUGAGACACGGUCCAGACUCCUACGGGAGGCAGCAGUAGGGAAUCUUCCGCAAUGGGCGAAAGCCUGACGGAGCAACGCCGCGUGAGUGAUGAAGGUCUUCGGAUCGUAAAACUCUGUUAUUAGGGAAGAACAAAUGUGUAAGUAACUAUGCACGUCUUGACGGUACCUAAUCAGAAAGCCACGGCUAACUACGUG
rnacentral:rRNA from 1 species